rnacentral:sRNA from 1 species
AACUCGAGAGCAGCCUCCAUGGGCACACAGGAGGGCUGGUGCCUGCUGCUCUGCCUGGCUCUAUCUGGAGCAGCAGAAACCAGUGAGUCUGGGAGUCGGGGAGAGCUGGCUGGGAGAAGAGCUACUGAAGCCCCAGGGUGCCACCCUCCCCGAGAUUCCAGAAGAGCAAAGGGGCCGGGGAUGACCCAAUCGCCUUCUAAGCCCAACAGGGGAAAGGCUCAGCGGCUGGCAAAGGAAGGAACCAAUAGUGUGUGUGGAGGGAGGGUGGGGACUCCACAGGGAAAAUGCUAAAGAGGGGCUGCCUCUGUGGCUGUGGUCAGGAGCCACUGUCCUACAGAGAGGGCACUGGCCUGGGAGCUGACACUUCAGAAGAGGAAAGGACUCCCCAGAGCCCCACCCAGCAGAGGGGCAGUGGCGGGCAGUGGACGUGGUCCUAGACUGCUUCCUGGCGAAGGACAGUGCGCACCGUGGAGCUCUCGCCAGCAGUGAGGACAGGGCAAGGGCCUCCCUUGUGCUGAAGCAGGUGCCAGUGCUGGACGAUGGCUCCCUGGAGGACUUCACUGAUUUCCAAGGGGGCACGCUGGCCCAAGAUGACCCACCUAUUAUCUUCGAGGCCUCAGUGGACCUGGUCCAGAUUCCCCAGGCCGAGGCCUUGCUCCAUGCUGACUGCAGUGGGAAGGAGGUGACCUGUGAGAUCUCCCGUUACUUUCUCCAGAUGACAGAGACCACUGUUAAGACAGCAGCUUGGUUCAUGGCCAACGUGCAGGUCUCUGGAGGGGGACCUAGCAUCUCCUUGGUGAUGAAGACUCCCAGGGUCGCCAAGAAUGAGGCUCUCUGGCACCCGACGCUGAACUUGCCCCUGAGCCCCCAGGGGACUGUGCGAACUGCAGUGGAGUUCCAGGUGAUGACACAGACCCAAUCCCUGAGCUUCCUGCUGGGGUCCUCAGCCUCCUUGGACUGUGGCUUCUCCAUGGCACCGGGCUUGGACCUCAUCAGUGUGGAGUGGCGACUGCAGCACAAGGGCAGGGGACGAGGGGACCUACAUUUGCCAGAUCACCACCUCUCUGUACCGAGCUCAGCAGAUCAUCCAGCUCAACAUCCAAGCUUCCCCUAAAGUACGACUGAGCUUGGCAAACGAAGCUCUGCUGCCCACCCUCAUCUGCGACAUUGCUGGCUAUUACCCUCUGGAUGUGGUGGUGACAUGGACCCGAGAGGAGCUGGGUGGAUCCCCAGCCCAAGUCUCUGGUGCCUCCUUCUCCAGCCUCAGGCAAAGCGUGGCAGGCACCUACAGCAUCUCCUCCUCUCUCACCGCAGAACCUGGCUCUGCAGGUGCCACUUACACCUGCCAGGUCACACACAUCUCUCUGGAGGAGCCCCUUGGGGCCAGCACCCAGGUUGUCCCACCAGAGCGGAGAACAGCCUUGGGAGUCAUCUUUGCCAGCAGUCUCUUCCUUCUUGCACUGAUGUUCCUGGGGCUUCAGAGACGGCAAGCACCUACAGGACUUGGGCUGCUUCAGGCUGAACGCUGGGAAACCACUUCCUGUGCUGACACACAGAGCUCCCAUCUCCAUGAAGACCGCACAGCGCGUGUAAGCCAGCCCAGCUUACACGCUAAAGUGACGUGAGACUACUAGAAAGAAACGACACCCUUCCCCCCAAGCCCCCCCCAGCUACUCCAACCCAAACAACAACCAAGCCAGUUUAAUGCUUUGCAGCACUGCUCUCAAAUUGUGAUGCUCCUGCCUGCAAGGCAUCAGCUCGGUCAUCCAGCUCUGACAGCUUCUGGUCCCUCUCCAGGACCUUGUCCACGUUCACACGUAUGAUGUCCACCACCUGAGGAGGGCACAGAAACAAAGCUGCUAAGCUUCCUGCCAGAGACAGAGGAAAGGACAACAACCAGAGAAUCACAAGUCUGGCCCUGUGCAACUCUAAAGGGUGCUUUGCCUCUCAGGGCCUUUGACUAUUCUCCUAUGAAAAAAGGAGAAAAGAUAAGAAGUUCCCUUUUGUUUCCAAACUCCUAGAUUUGGAAACUUUCAGAGAAACAGCUAUCUACCUACCUCCUCCACUUGUGCCUGGGUUUGCUGUAGUCGUCUGUUACUGGUCAUGUUAGGAGGAGGGCCAGGGGGACCCCCACCUGGGGCAGUCCCUUCUGUCCCUUCAGCAGGUGGCUGAGCUGGAGCAGACCUGUGGAAAGACAUGUGCAGAGUACACAAAGUGACCAAGACAAGAAAGGAGCUGGGCGUGGUAGCACACACCUGUAAUCCCAGCUACUCAAGAGGCUGAAGUGGGAGGAGCGCUUGAGCCCAGGAGUUCGAGGCCAGCCUGGGCAUCAUAGCGAGACUCCAUCUCU